UUUUAAUUUUUGUCCUACUAAUAAUUUAAGAAUUGAAAUGGGUUUAUUAAAAUGAGAGGGAGCAGGAUGAAUUCACAUUGAGUAAUCCAAAUUCCAAAACAAUUUUCUGUGCUCUGAAUCAUGGUUACAAUUUGUGAUCGGAUUCCUUUUUAACUGAGCUGAAUUAUAAAUUUAACACGUGGACUUACUGAUUUUUUUUUUCCUCAAAUCUUAUUCUGUGAUUUCCUUGCAAGCAUCUUUGGGAUUACACAUGAAAAAUAGCUAAAGAAAUAUGGGCACUGUAAGCAUGGAACAGAGACCUAUUGUGUGAACUCCUGUGGCUAUGUUUUAGGAAAAAAUAAACACCAAGGGUCCAUAUGCACUGUGCUUUAGUGAAUAUUGACCCUUCCUGGAACUAGGAAGAGCUAUUUCUGUCUCUGAGUUGGUCUGUGGGUCAGAUUGGUAAGCAAUUGACCUUUGCAGUUUGGCGCUUGAGCAGAAAUGAACUGUUGACCAAGGUUGAGGCAGGCUCUUGAGGCCAUUCAACCCCCUUCAAAGCAGAGAUGCUGGCCCUGUACUGGCAAAUGGACCAAAGGAAAGAAAGGUCACUGAACCAAGUGAGACCAAAGGCAAACCCUGACUUGGGCAGCUCCUGGGCUGCAGAGGGCCCUCGGGACAGAGUCCUGAUGCAAACCAGCUACUGCUUUAAUACCCUGAGUGUUUGAUUCCUGGAAAAGUGAAUCCUGCUUCUCAGCCGGUCUGGGACUGUAGAUGUACCAUGCAGUUUUUAAACACUCAAUUCAAUGUCCUGAAGCUGAAUCAUUUUUGUAUCUUCCAGGCAGUGAGGCUGAUAUCCUUGUGACUCCUUAAUUCUGGGGGGAAGGUGAGCCUCUGUUCUGUCUUGUAGCAACUCACCACCCAUAUCAGGCAACAAUAAUGUAGGUAUGAAAAUUGCAUCAACCUAUGACUUGCAUGUCAACGUAUGUGUGGGCACUUCGAUUGCUCUGGUGUGAACCUCACCAGAUUCUGUAACAGACUUGGGCUCUCAGUUCUAUUCUGAUGCUUCAUUUUUAUAGUUACAGACAGAGGCUUCAUUUGCAAACCUGAGAAUGAGUUCCUGGGUUCCCAUGAGACUGCAUAGUGACAUUAGAAGUUAUCAAAAAGGGAGGAAUCUAAACCUUCAUCUUCAUGCUCCAAAGCCAUUGAGUCACAUGGGGUGGCCGUCUCCCAGUUCUAGGAAAACCAGAGAAUAUUUGCAUGUAUUCUUUAUUCAUCACCCGUCCUUUUAGAGUCAUGUUUUCUUUCUGAUAAUACGGACUGUUAAGGAGAGUCACUAAUUAGCAAUUUUUCUUAUCACAAAUACAUGAUGACUAAUGACAUUAAUAUUCUAGUUUAUUCAAGCUAAUGGUGGACGGAAGUUGUUGGCUACGUACAUAGAGAGUGACUGUUGAGAAAUAGCCUCUCCUUUUUAGCCCCUGCUGUUAAUGCCCCAUUGAGAGUCACGGGACAAAGAAAAAUGAUAUUUAUACUUUGUCGUUUGUUCCAAUACAUCUUGCAUCAUCAAUACUUAUUUAGUACUUCCCAAAAGGAAGUGUGAACCUUGGUAGCUUGAAUUACCUUUCCACCUGCAACAUCACUAAAUUAGUAUAAUCCAUACAACAUC
rnacentral:lncRNA from 10 species